UGUCCCUCUCCUGGGUAGAGUUGCACCUGGAUUGGUGAUGCUUGUCUCAUAUCAGCCAGGGACAAAGUAACUCUUUGUUUAUCCCAGCUUGGUUUUUGGUCUGUCCCUGUGCCUGGUUCAUGCCCUGGAUGCAUCA
rfam:Myotis davidii contig121673, whole genome shotgun sequence.